rnacentral:rRNA from 1 species
AUACCGGGCCUUUUUGGGCUUGGUAAUUGGAAUGAGGGAGAGUUAAACGGACCAUCGAGUAUCCAUUGGAGGGCAAGUCUGGUGCCAGCAGCUGCGGUAAUACCAGCUCCAAUAGCGUAUAUUAAAGUUGUUGCAGUUAAAAAGCUCGUAGUUGGACUUGUGUGCGCUGUCCGCGGGUGGCCUCGCCCAAAAGGGCGUUUCGGUUCGGCCCCGGUGGCGCCUUGAAAUCUGCAGCUGGGGGGACGUUGGCCUUAACUGGUCGGCGACCGCACGCCGGCUGCUCGGUUACUGUGAGAAAAUUAGAGUGUUCAAGGCAGGCAUUGGGUGCAAUUGAAUACAUUAGCAUGGAAUAAUAAAAUAUGGCUCCUGCCGUAUUUUGUUGGUUUUGACUGGUGGGAGUAAUGAUUGAUAGGGACGGUUGGGGGUGCUAGUAUUGAGCGGCCAGAGGUGAAAUUCAUGGAUUCGCUCAAGACUAACUUAUGCGAAAGCAUUCACCAAGGACGUCCUCUUUAAUCAAGAACGAAAGUUGGGGGAUCGAAGACGAUCAGAUACCGUCGUAGUCUCAACCAUAAACUAUGUCGACUUGGGAUCGGCGGUAGUUUUUUCAUUAAGACACUGUCGGGACCACGGGAGAAAUCAAAGUGUCUGGACUCUGGGGGAAGUAUGGUCGCAAGGCUGAAACUUGAAGGAAUUGACGGAAGGGCACCACCAGGAGUGGAGCCUGCGGCUUAAUUUGACCCAACACGGGGAAACUUACCAGGUCCAGAGAUAUAGAGGAUUGACAGAUUGAAGCUCUUUCUUGAUCACUUCGGUGGUGGUGCAUGGCCGUUCUUAGUUGGUGGAGUGAUUUGUCUGGUUAAUUCCGUUAACGAACGAGACCUCAGCCUGCUAGUGUAGUCGGCUGGAUUGCCUUUGGCGAUCCGUGAUUUCGACUUCUUAGAGGGACAAUCGACGCGCAGUCGAUGGAAGUUUGAGGCAAUAACAGGUCUGUGAUGCCCUUAGAUGUUCUGGGCCGCACGCGCGCUACACUGCUGGGCUCAGCGAGUUUUACUUGGCCGAGAGGCCCGGUUAAUCUUGUGAAAUCCCAGCGUGCUUGGGCUCGCCUCCUGCAACUGGAGGCGCCAACGAGGAAUUCCUAGUAGACGCAGGUCAUCAACCUGCAUCGAUUACGUCCCUGCCCUUUGUACACACCGCCCGUCGUUCCAUAAGAGUGAGGCAUCCGGUGAAUUCUCGGGAGAGCCUGGGCGUGGCCAGCAAUGGUCUGCUCGGGUUUGAACUUGCAUAAACUUGGUGCCUAUGAUUAGGG